CUUUAAUGAAAUUUGUUGUGCACUUUGUUUUCAACCCCAUUGUUACUGAACUGUAAAGUGAAAAUAUUGUGUGAUUUGUUUUCAGUUUAAAAUAUUUCACAAUAUCAAAGCUGAUAUUUUAUGAGUAUUUAUUGUUGGUGUUUUCGUUUAUACAUGACAGUACAGAAAAUGCACAAGUGGGAAAGAGUGGAGGGGACGGUGUCAGAAAGGACCUAGAGCUGGAAUACUUUCAAGGAUCACCCCAAGCACAACCACACUAUGCUCAAGUCUGUUUAGGGACCCCUUCGGUAGAAAUCACAUUCCACUUACCUCAGAAACCACCAAAAUAAAAGAUCAACUGGUUUCAGUCAUGGGUGUCUCUUUACAAAAGGCUUUAAAUAUUACUGUAUUUGGAUUGUUCUUCUACAGGUUUUUUAACAAUAAAUCCCAUGCACACUGCAAACUAAAUAUUGGGAUAAUUUUCAUUUGUUUUAUACAGUAUGUUUCCGAAAUAAAACUGCUGUUUUACAAUUUUGAGCAUUAGGUAGCUUAUUGAAGUUGAUUUUAAAGACGUUGCUGCCAGUAGAAUAUAUAUUUUAUUUAUCAUUUAUUUGUGCAGAUCAGGUUGUUCCCCAAGGGAAAAGUAUCCCCGUAUUAUUUUCCUCCUUUAGCCGCUUAACUCGUGGCAAUGCAUUCAGAAUCCACGAUAAGCGAAAACGAACGAGUCUUUGAAAAAUAUUAACAAAGAAUCCCGUUUUAUUUUCGCUUCACUCUCCAGUCCAGCGGGUGGCGCUAAACACGUUCGUUUGUUUACCAAACACCAUUAAACCGCAGAGGAAGAAGAUUAGUUCCACCGCGCUCACUGUUGGUCUGUCGUGAUGCUGGCUUAAUACAAACUUAGUGACUAGGUUUUGAAGCAAGCAGGUGUGCUGGUGUCUUGCUGCUGUGAAGAUGGUGUUUGUUAAAAAGGAGAGUGAAGAGAACACGAUUGAACCAGAAACACUGAAAAUAAAACACGAGGAAACAGAAACAUGGAGAAUAAAACACGACCCAGAAACCAGGAGAAUAAAACAAGAGGAACCAGAAACCAGGAUAACAAAACAAGAGGAACCAGAAACCUGGGGAAUAAAACAAGAUGAACCAGAAACCUGGAGAAUAAAACACGAGGAACAAGGAGGACAGUACAGAAAGCACACAAGUGCCCCCUCUAACGCUGGGCCCUUGGAAUUUUCCUAAUCUUCCCUCCCCUGACAGCGUCCCUGGUUGAAGGUUCCCUUCUUAAACUGUGCAACACAUUUUCACUGCACCAAUGUCAUAUCUCUUGUAAUGAGACGCAUAACUAAAACAUGUUUUUUUUACAGAAACUGUAGUUUCCCACCAAAAUAAAAGAUCAACUGGUUUCAGUCAUUAAGGUACAAGUGUUUCUCUUCCAAGUGCUGCUAAAAAUAUGCAAUUAUAUGUAAAAAAUAUUACAAAUAAUAUAAAAAAAUUCUUUAAAUAUUACUGAAUUUGAAUUGUUCUUCUACAUGUUUUAAAAAUACAUCCAUGUAUACUCUGCAAAAUAAAGUUUGUGAUUAUUUUCAUCUGUUUUGUACAAUAAUGUUUCCAAAAUAAAACUGCUGUUUCACAAUUUUGAACAUGUGGUAGUUUAUUGAAGUUGAUUGUCAAGCCAUUGCUGCCAGUCAUUUGAUUUUUAGCCUUGAUCCUGUACAGUUUUGAUCUAAAUGCAAACUAUCUAAUAGAACAUAAAAUUGUGUAUUUAUACAUGGUGCACAGUACGACGAUGAAACAACGUUGUGUUACGUUGAUUCACUUUUUAAAGUCAACACCUCAUUCAGCGUCCAUGGUCUCCAGAUUGACCAUAAAUCACCCAUGAUGAAGGUAAGAAGCUUAAACUGCGUCGCGAUUACAACGGUGAAUCAACGUCACAAUAUCAAUGUUGAUCCAAUUUGCAAAAUCGUAAGGUAAUUCAACAUUGUUUCAACGUUGAAAUGCCGUCUGGGAUUAAAUUGAUUUAAUUCUAUGUAUUUCACGUUUUAUAUAAUUUAGGAUUAUAUCAUAAUGUAACAAUACAAGAUUAUUUAUUUUAUGAAUAAUCCUAUUUUAUUUUAUGUCAAAGGGUUUUUUUCUUAU
rnacentral:lncRNA from 1 species